UUAGUACUCAUUCCGUUCUGAAUUAGUUAUCUUAGAUUUGUCUUGAUACGGAUGUAUCUCAACGUGUUUAGAUGCAUCUGUAUCUAGACAAAUUUAAAAAAACUAAUUUAGGACGGAGGUACUAU
rnacentral:pre_miRNA from 1 species